rnacentral:rRNA from 1 species
AUUGAACGCUGGCGGCAGGCCUAACACAUGCAAGUCGAGCGGAGCGGCGGACGGGUGAGUAAUGCCUAGGAAUCUUCCUGGUAGUGGGGGAUAACGUCCGGAAAGGGGCGCUAAUACCGCAUAAGAUCAGAUGAGACUAGGUCGGAUUAGCUAGUUGGGGGGGUAAAGGCCUACCAAGGAGACGAUCCGUAACUGGUCUGAGAGGAGAAUCGGUCACACUGGAAAUGAGACACGGUCCAGACUCCUACGUGAGGCAGCAGUGGGGAAUAUUGGACAAUGGGCGAAAGCCUGAUCCAGCCAUGCCGCGUGUGUGAAGAAGGUCUUCGGAUUGGAAAGCUCUUUAAGUUGGGAGGCGUUACCAACAGAAUAAGCACCGGCUAACUUCGUGCCAGCAGCCGCGGUAAUAC